UAGAUGAUUUGACCUAUAAAUACGUCCUCUGUGUUCUUGACGUUUUCAGCAGACAUCUUUUUCUUCGACCUCUUCCGGGUAAAUCAUCAUUUCUUGUUGCCAAUGAAUUGUUGGAGUUGUAUUACAUGAUUGGACCACCGGCUACUAUUCAAACAGAUCAAGGAACAGAGUUUAAAGGAGUUGUAGAGCUACUGUCUUCGUUGAUGAACAUCAAGAUUAUUCGCAGCAGACCGUAUCAUCCGCAGUCUCAAGGAAAACUUGAAAAAGUCAACCUAUCACUGAAAAAUCGCAUACGUUAUGACAUGAUCACUAACAAAACUGAAGGUGUGAACUGGGUUGAAG